rnacentral:tRNA from 1 species
GGAGAGAUGUCCGAGCGGUUUAAGGUACAAUCUUGGAAAGGUUGCGUACCGAAAGGUACCAGGGGUUCGAAUCCCCUUCUCUCCG